GCUCUUAAACGUCCCACAUGCUACAAUCCAAGGUAUAAAGUCGUACCAAUCCGGAUAGAUAAUUACAUACAUCACUAAUACAAACUUACAAGCCAAACGCUCGAAUUAGGGUUUACACAUUUUCCAGCUUCAAGUGGUAAUCCAAAAUAAAAGUACAUUAUCCAAAUUAACGCAUUACAGCCCACAAAAUAAGUCAUAGCAUUCAAAUGCAUUCCAAAAGGAAAACAUGAGUAAGUUUCAAAGCUUUCAAUUUCCAGCACCUGUUAAAGAAAACAAGUAAACGUGGGGUGAGCUAAAGCUCAGUGGUGCCCCAAAACAUGCAAUCACGUAAAUCAAACAGCGCGUAAUAACUUAGCCAAAUUGAACAGUUAGGAAAGCGUAUAACAGCACAAGGUAGGAUACAGGGGCCCUCAGGAGCCAUUUUCCUCGCUUGAUCACCAUGCAUCGUAGUUGACCCUCCGUCAACUCUCACUACUUAUAGUCCAUGUAGAUCCACUCAUUUUAAUCCUAACCCGUCACCGUACGUACCCCUGUCCCGGGCCCGAACACCGACUAAGGAAGCAGUAUACUCGAGAUAUACCCUUAGAAAAUUUGGGAGCAGUAUACUUGAGUAUACCCUCAGGAAAUUGGUCGAGGGAUUCACCCAGCGACAUUUCCGUAGUUGGAUUCAGAAGUCGAGGGAUUCACCCAACGACGCAACUACAUUUAGAUUCACGGAUUCAUGAGAAAAGAUGUUUCACGCAGGUCACCACUCGAACGGCUAGUGCGAUAAAGUACACACUGCUCACUUCGAUGGAUCAAAAACUAGUUUUGCAAAUUAUCACAUAUUGAGUCAAGAAAGCACUUUAACCCGGUAAGCAUGGAACAAGCAGGGGCACUCACCAAGAGUGAAGUUCAGAUGUCAAGUUGGGAAUCGAAUUCCGCGUCCUCGCAAUAUCCUAAAAUACCAAAUUUUGAAACUAUAAGUUUUCUAUUCAAAUUUUAAACUUAUUCGUAUAGGGAAUUAUCUAAUAUAUUGCUAGUUUACUUUCUCAAGAAAUUUCAAAAAUCUACUUAGGUUGAAACUUGACAAAAGUAGUAAAAAUGUUUCUUAUAGUUUUCCUUGAGAUACUUUUCCUUAGAAAAGGGUAACUAGUAUUAUUUUCUUGAAACAAUUCGACCAUCCACUUAGGAUUGAAAUUUUGUAAAAGUAGGAAAUGUUUUAUAUGGCUUUCCUUAAAAAUAUUUUUCUUUAUACAAGUGCGGCUAGUACUAUUUUAUUUAGAAUAAAUUUUCCUUGCCGAGGAAGUUUUCUGCUAUUUUUAGUUAAAGUCACUAAAAUCUUGUAUUUGGAAAUUUUCCUCUAGACAAUUAGCCAGGGACAGUUUUAAGGAAAGAAAAGGAAAUAGAUCAAGACUUAGGGUUUUAAAACUAGUGAAAUCAUUUUCUAAAGGUAAUAAGGCUAGUUUACGUUUAAAGGAGAAAUAUCGAGUUGGCAAGGUUUAGAAAAUCCCUACACGAAAUUUCUAACUUUAACAUUCAGUGCUAAGUUUUAUCGUACCAUACUAGAGUGAAGAUAUAUUUAAAUAGCUUGCUUAAAAACUUCUCAAGUUCGCAGGACCAAAAUGGAUUCCUUACGAUUCCGAUUUACAAGCACAUAAUAUUUCAGAUUUGUCAAUAUAACCAACUCACAUUUCAAAUAGAAAUCUCACUAGGGCUUCGUCAAUCAUUAGCCCUAGGUUUCAACAGAUUCAAUUCUGAUCAAGAAUAAAACGAAUGACCAAGGUUUCGUCAAUCAUUAGCACUUGGUUUUGGCAAGCUCAUAUCACAUCUUAACUAAAACAAAAUGAAGGUAAGGCCUCCAAGAAAUUCCAGCAAUUAAAGUUCAUCACUCUUUAAUAUUUAUAAAAUCAUUCAAAUGGCCAAGGGCUUCAUCAAUCAUUAGCCCUUGACAACCAUCAAUCACUUCCAACCACAAUUCAAUCAGGAAUUCAAAUCACAAAUAAGCUAAAUGUUCGAUCCAAGUCAAAAUUCAGUUUCAUGAAGAAACAGGACAUUCAAGCAGGACAGCCUACUUUGAGGAGUCACGGACAGCAGUACACAUGGAGGAAAAAUAUGAAAUUUCUACAGAACAAAGGCCCAUGAUUCUAGUUUCAAAUGCCACUGACGGCACCUUAAACGAAUUUUCCUACACCAAGAUAUAAGCAUUUUUCUGAGACUGGUCAGUAAAAUCCGAAAAUCUGAAAUCUCAUUUUUCACUUGUGAAAAACUCCUUUGUUAACACUAACUUGACAUGCAGAGGAUGGUUGUUAAGUUACAGAGUGUAUUGUGCAAUAAUACGAAAUUUUCAGCCCAAAACAACAUUUUUAGAACUAAAAUUCGCCACAAGAAAUCUGGAAAAUUCCUUUACUAUCUCUAUCAACUUGCUUGAGAAGUUUCUAGGUCUACACUUCAACAUUUUUGAUCAAUUCAAACCACCAUUCAAAUGUUUCACAUCAACAUAUCUUAUAGAACUUUAAAACUACAUAUUCCAGGCAUUUCCAACCAUUAUGCUUCAAAGAAAAAUUUCAAAACCAAGCUGAGAUUCCAACUCAACCUUCGGCUAUCACAAAAGAAAUUCUAGCCUUUAUAUAUCAACAUUUUUUGUUCAAUCUUUCAAUAUAUCCAAUACUUCAUUGCUAAACAACUUAAAAUUUACAUCUCUUAUGUAUUACUAAACCACUAUAUUCCAAGGGAAAAAUAAAAUAAAUUUCCAGAAACCAAUUAAAAUUUCCAAAGACAACCUGAAAAUUCUGGUUCAUACCCCUUGGCUAUCAAUACUUUUCCAGCACUUAGGGUUUUAUAAAUCCAACUUUUCCUUGGCUAAAACAUGGUUUUAGAUUCUCAAAUUCGUCAUGUGAACCUUUGGCUAGCUAAUUAACAUUUCUGGUUCAAAAUCGAAUUCGAAUAACAGCUUCAAACAUCCCAAAAAUCCAGAAAUCUGUCCAGCUAGUCACGGAUGAACAUGUAUGAAGAAACUUUCUGUUUUCAUUUUAUUUUCUUGGUUAAAACAUAGUAUUACUUACUCAAAUUUGACCUGUAAACACUUAGUUAACGGCUUAACAUUUCCAGUACCGAAUCAAGUUCGAAUAACAGCCAUCAACAUCUACUUUUCUAAAAAUUAUUCCAGCUUGGCUCGGAUGAACAUGCAUGUGGCAGGUUGCAUUUUGAUUUUAUUUUUCUGGAUUAAACUAAUUAAUUAACUACAUGCAGAGCCUAAUUAACUUGUUAUGAACUAUCUAAUCACCACAAUAAGCUCGGCUUACACCAAUUAGACCAGAUUAAGGCUGCAUUAUCCAAUUAACACUCGUCAAAAAGUUUUCUUUCUUAUAAUCAGAAUCUUCUUUUCCAAAAUCAUCAUCCGAUGGUUUUAACUCAACAUGCAAAGCUUUAAACAAUUUAAUUGGUUAGUGAUUAGUUAUUUAAUCAACCAUGCAAGAUCAGAUUUUCGAAAAUUAUUAACUUAAGAUCAACAUUUCAUAAUCAACUCUCGGAAAUCCCAAAGGUGCGCACAACAGAAUUUUUUUUUCUUUUUCUUCUCUAAGUCAUCAUCCAGUACAUAAAUUCAACAUGCAUGCUACUAAUCACUAUCAUCUACCAUUAAUUAGCUUAACUUGGCACAGAAAUUACCUCAGAAACAACUUAGCUCACACACGAAAAUCUAGAAAUUUUCUUUCCUUCCUCUAGGCUUCAAGCGCAGGUUUGUUGGUCCUGGUUCCUGAGUUGCGGCUGGAGUGGUGUUGUGGUGGGGUUGAUUUCGGUUGGUUGGAUGUGAAGGGUGCAGAACUGGAAGUGCAGAAUGGUGGGACUUGCUCACGGUUUUCUCCCUCAGCUUGCGGCCCGAAGCAGAAAAUUUUGCAGCUCGCGGAUUGCAGCUCUCACGGUUCCACUUUGCUGCUCACAAGGUAAGUCUCUCUCUCCCUCUUUGUUCUUGGUCCGGAGCU
rnacentral:lncRNA from 1 species